CACUCUAUCCACUGUGCCACCUAGCUUCCCAAGGUUCCAUUUCUUUCUGCAACCUCUAAGGUUAAAUAUUGGAAGGGGAGAGAGGAUGGUUCCCUUAAGCUCACAGGAUACAGG